rnacentral:lncRNA from 1 species
UGAAAGUGUUGCAGUGUCUGGAACUUUUAAUAGCACUACCAGCCAUGACAUCUGUGCCUGGAACAGUAAGAACAGAUUAACCCUUACAGAGGUCUCCGGGAAAGGGACCUGCCUAGGAAACCCACCAGCUGCAUACAGGCAUCUCUGUAAUGAGAUUCUCAGGAGCCCUCAAACCUCUACUAACAGAUUCUUAAUACCCACGCUUGAAAAAUGGUGGGCAUGUGGGUCAGGACUAACCCCUUGUAUUUCUACUUCUGUCUUUGAUGACACCAAAGACUAUUGCAUACUGUGCAGCUGGUCCCUCGGGUUUAUUAUCACCCUGCAGGCACUCUUGAAGAUGAGUUUGACAAACAUCUGAGACGCUUCCACAGGGAACCCAUUUCAUUGACCUUAGCAGUCAUGUUGGGACUCGGGGUAGCUGCAGGUAUGGAAACAGGCACAGCAGCAUUAAUACAGACCCCUCAAUAUUUCCAUGAACUGAGGUUGGCAGUAGAUGAAGAUUUACAAGCCAUAGAACAGUCUAUAUCUAAGCUUGAAGAAUCACUGACCUCCCUCUCAGAGGUGGUCUUGCAAAACAGGAGAGGUCUAGAUUUACUGAUCCUUAAAGAAGGAGGACUGUGUGCUGCCUUAAGAGAAGAAUGUUGCUUUUAUGUAG